rnacentral:tRNA from 1 species
CGGGUUGUGGCUCAGUGGUAGAGCACUUGCCUAGUAUGCAUGAGGCACUGGGUUCAAUCCUCAGCACCACAU